rnacentral:tRNA from 1 species
GGUUGUAGCUCAGUGAUAAAGCACUCGCCUAGCAUGUGUGAGGCACUGGGUUCAAUUCUCGGCACCA